GAUGAACGCUAGCGGGAGGCCUAACACAUGCAAGCUGAGCGGUAGAGUCUCUUCGGAGACUUGAGGGCGGCGUACGGGUGCGGAACACGUGUGCAACCUGCCUUUAUCAGGGGGAUAGCCUUUAGAAAGGAAGAUUAAUACCCCAUAAUAUAUUGAUUGGCAUCAAUUGAUAUUGAAAACUGAGGUGGAUAAAGAUGGGCACGCGCAAGAUUAGAUAGUUGGUGAGGAAACGGCGCACCAAGUCGAUGAUCUUUAGGGGGCCUGAGAGGGUGGUCCCCCACACUAGUACUGAGACACGGACCAGACUCCUACGGGAGGCAGCAGUGAGGAAUAUUGGACAAUGGGUUAGCGCCUGAUCCAGCCAUCCCGCGUGAAGGACGACGGCCCUAUGGGUUGUAAACUUCUUUUGUACAGGGAUAAACCUAUCUACGUGUAGAUAGCUGAAGGUACUGUACGAAUAAGCACCGGCUAACUCCGUGCCAGCAGCCGCCGUAAUAC
rnacentral:rRNA from 1 species